rnacentral:rRNA from 1 species
GACGAACGCUGGCGGCGUGCUUAACACAUGCAAGUCGAACGGAAAGGCCCUGCUUUUGUGGGGUGCUCGAGUGGCGAACGGGUGAGUAACACGUGAGUAACCUGCCCUUGACUUUGGGAUAACUUCAGGAAACUGGGGCUAAUACCGGAUAGGAGCUCCUGCUGCAUGGUGGGGGUUGGAAAGUUUCGGCGGUUGGGGAUGGACUCGCGGCUUAUCAGCUUGUUGGUGGGGUAGUGGCUUACCAAGGCUUUGACGGGUAGCCGGCCUGGGAGGGUGACCGGCCACCUUGGGACUGAGGUACGGCCCAGACUCCUACGUGAGGCAGCAGUGGGGAAUAUUGCACAAUGGGCGGAAGCCUGAUGCAGCAACGCCGCGUGCGGGAUGCCGGCCUUCGGGUUGUAAACCGCUUUCGCCUGUGACGAAGCGUGAGUGACGGUAAUGGGUAAAGAAGCACCGGCUAACUACGUG